UACGUAGGGUGCAAGCGUUAAUCGGAAUUACUGGGCGUAAAGCGUGCGCAGGCGGUUCGUUGUGUCGGUGGUGAAAGCCCCGGGCUUAACCUGGGAAUGGCCAUGGAAACUGGCGAACUGGAGUGUGGCAGAGGGGGGUGGAAUUCCGCGUGUAGCAGUGAAAUGCGUAGAGAUCCGGAAGAACACCGGUGGCGAAGGCGGCCUGCUGGGCAGUAGCUGACACUGAGGCGCGACAGCGUGGGGAGCAACAGG
rnacentral:rRNA from 1 species